UACGAAGGGGGCUAGCGUUGCUCGGAAUCACUGGGCGUAAAGGGCGCGUAGGCGGCCAUUCAAGUCGGAGGUGAAAGCCCAGGGCUCAACCCUGGAAUUGCCUUCGAUACUGUCUGGCUAGAGACCGGAAGAGGUAAGUGGAACUGCGAGUGUAGAGGUGAAAUUCGUAGAUAUUCGCAAGAACACCAGUGGCGAAGGCGGCUUACUGGUCCGGUUCUGACGCUGAGGCGCGAAAGCGUGGGGAGCAAACAGGG
rnacentral:rRNA from 1 species